GGCCCGUUCGUCUAACGGCUAGGACGCGAGCUUUUCAAGCUUGAAACAGGGGUUCGACUCCCCUACGGGCUG
rnacentral:tRNA from 1 species